AAUCCAUAGGUUAAUGAGGCGAACCGGGGGAACUGAAACAUCUAAGUACCCCGAGGAAAAGAAAUCAACCGAGAUUCCCCCAGUAGCGGCGAGCGAACGGGGAGGAGCCCAGAGCCUGAAUCAGCAUGUGUGUUAGUGGAAGCGUCUGGAAAGGCGCGCGAUACAGGGUGACAGCCCCGUACACAAAAGCGCAUGUGCUGUGAGCUCGAUGAGUAGGGCGGGACACGUGGUAUCCUGUCUGAAUAUGGGGGGACCAUCCUCCAAGGCUAAAUACUCCUGACUGACCGAUAGUGAACCAGUACCGUGAGGGAAAGGCGAAAAGAACCCCGGCGAGGGGAGUGAAAAAGAACCUGAAACCGUGUACGUACAAGCAGUGGGAGCACAGGUUUACCUGUGUGACUGCGUACCUUUUGUAUAAUGGGUCAGCGACUUAUAUUCUGUAGCAAGGUUAACCGAAUAGGGGAGCCGGAGGGAAACCGAGUCUUAAUUGGGCGUUAAGUUGCAGGGUAUAGACCCGAAACCCGGUGAUCUAGCCAUGGGCAGGUUGAAGGUUGGGUAACACUAACUGGAGGACCGAACCGACUAAUGUUGAAAAAUUAGCGGAUGACCUGUGGCUGGGGGUGAAAGGCCAAUCAAACCGGGAGAUAGCUGGUUCUCCCCGAAAGCUAUUUAGGUAGCGCCUCGUGAAUUCAUCUCCGGGGGUAGAGCACUGUUUCGGCUAGGGGGCCAUCCCGGCUUACCAACCCGAUGCAAACUGCGAAUACCGGAGAAUGUUAUCACGGGAGACACACGGCGGGUGCUAACGUCCGUCGUGAAGAGGGAAACAACCCAGACCGCCAGCUAAGGUCCCAAAGUCAUGGUUAAGUGGGAAACGAUGUGGGAAGGCCCAGACAGCCAGGAUGUUGGCUUAGAAGCAGCCAUCAUUUAAAGAAAGCGUAAUAGCUCACUGGUCGAGUCGGCCUGCGCGGAAGAUGUAACGGGGCUAAACCAUGCACCGAAGCUGCGGCAG
rnacentral:rRNA from 1 species